rnacentral:rRNA from 1 species
UACGUAGGUGGCAAGCGUUGUCCGGAAUUAUUGGGCGUAAAGCGUGCGCAGGCGGUUGUGCAAGACAGAUGUGAAAUCCCCGGGCUCAACCUGGGAACUGCAUUUGUGACUGCACAGCUUGAGUGCGGCAGAGGGGGAUGGAAUUCCGCGUGUAGCAGUGAAAUGCGUAGAUAUGCGGAGGAACACCGAUGGCGAAGGCAAUCCCCUGGGCCUGCACUGACGCUCAUGCACGAAAGCGUGGGGAGCAAACAGG